UUUGCAACUCUCUCUUUUCUCUCUAUUCUGUUGCAUCAUAGAAAGAGCAGGGAAGCUCUCUUGCUCUUUCUCUAGCUGGAGUUGCAUCAAAGAAAAAGAAAUUCUUCUUCUCUCUAUCAUGGGUUGGCAGCUUGAAUAAGUGAAGCAAGAAGGAUCCUGUCCAUUUUAGUUCUUUCUCUCCCUCAACAUUUCUCUAUCUCUCCGGAUUCUCUACAAGGAGAAGAGAAGAAUCUAUUAUCUAAUCUCUCGGAUCGGCAGCCAUGGGAUUUGAGGAUGAAGAGUAUCAGGACUAUCCAGAUGAUUAGAUGAAUCCUAGUGGCGGUCUUUUGAGGUUACGUUGCCUCCUAUUUUGUGGACUCUUGGAUGUGAUAGAUUAUCCUGCUUAGUCUAUUUUUUAUUUAUAUGUGUUAGAUUCAUUUUCUUUAGUGUUGUAAUAUUUAUUGCAGUUUGGUUGGUGUUUUAUAACAGUGUCGUCUGUGGCAUAUAUGUUACUACUUUUAAAGGUGUAUUUAUUA